GAACUCCAUCUGAAAUUGUCUGUUAUGUGUAAUGUGAGCAUAAUGCAUUAAAGUUAAAAACUUUUCUGGAAGAAAUGUUUAAGAAAGAAGAGAAAGGUUAUCUACACGCAUAAUAUUAGACCGGAGUAACAUUCCGCAAAUUGGAUCAAUCACCAUUUUGGAGAGGCCCAAUGGAGCUGCCGUUAAUAUCAGACAGAGUUUCGCAAAGCCCGUUAACGCCCAACCUCCUCGUAAAGAUUCCCUUCUUCCUCUCACAACAACAGCAACGACCAUGGUCGCAAAGCCCAAGCGAUCUUAGCCACAUUGACGCCAUCGACAAUAUUUCAGGAAACUGACCUAGGUUCUACCUAUCUUUUAUGGAUGGUGGAAAGUUUAACGGAAAAAAAGAAUUGAAUUUUUUUUUGUAGAAGAAGAAGAUGGAUGGUAAUUAUGGUGAAGGAUUAUGGAGAAGGGAAAUUUCGAGAAGAAACCUUAGUAAAAGCUAAUUGUUCCAAAAGACAUGGAAAGAGAAAAAGCUGAAAGUUGUAUAAUAGUUUGAA
rnacentral:lncRNA from 1 species